GGAUGUGAGGGCAAUCUGGCUGCAACAUCUGUCAUCCCCUUGAUCACCAGGGUUGAUUCAGCUGAUCUGGCUGGUUAAGCAGAUGUCCCAUUCCUUCCUCACUGCUCCAUGUGCAUCCCUCCCAAAGCUAUGCACUCAGUCAAAGAGGAUGACCAUCCCUGAUAGAGGAGGACGAUUGUUCAGUCAAGGGUAAAUGAGUAGCUGCACUCCCUUGCUAGAACCUCCAAACAAGCUCUAAAUGACACCAAAAAUCAAAUGGACCUAACUGAUGUCUAGAGAAUAUUUUACCCAGCUACAGCACAAUAUACAUUCUUCU
rnacentral:snRNA from 1 species